rnacentral:rRNA from 1 species
CCUACGGGUGGCAGCAGUGGGGAAUAUUGGGCAAUGGGCGCAAGCCUGACCCAGCAACGCCGCGUGAGCGAUGAAGGUCUUCGGAUUGUAAAGCUCUGUCGCAGGGGACGAAGUAUGACGGUACCCUGUAAGAAAGCCCCGGCAAACUCCGUGCCAGCAGCCGCGGUAAUACGUAGGGGGCUAGCGUUGUCCGGACUUACUGGGCGUAAAGGGAGUGUAGACGGCUUGUCAAGUUAAGUGUGAAAGCCUGCGGCUUAACCGUAGAAUUGCAGUUAAAACUGACUCGCUAGAGUGCAUGAGAGGUAGGUGGAAGUCCUGGUGUAGCGGUGGAAUGCGUAGAUAUUAGGAGGAACACCGGAGGCGAAGGCGGCUCGCUGGACUGUAACUGACGUUGAGGCUCGAAAGCGUGGGGAGCAAACAGGAUUAGAUACCCUAGUAGUC